GUCACACGCAGUCCGCUCGGACAUUAAUUCACACCGUAAAUCCGGCGGAUCUAUUUGUCCAUCUGUCAGGAGGGAAGAUGGGAGCCGACGCUGCAAAGCCGGACCGAUUAUCUUUAUGGUCAGCAGUCGCAGAGAUUGUGGGUGAAAUCGAAAAUGUCCCAGUCAGCUGCUCAGGACAUUUUCCAGAGUUCAUUUCUGAAAAGAGCUCAAGUCUGAUAAAGUGUUGGAGUAAGGAGGAGACAAACAUCGAGCGCACACUCCUACUUACUUAUGGAAAAGAUUGUAGCACAUUCACUAGAGGGAUAAAGAGAUGAAAAUAAAAGGUCAAAUUAA